rnacentral:rRNA from 4 species
GGCGAGGGGAGUGAAAAAGAACCUGAAACCGUGUACGUACAAGCAGUGGGAGCACAGGUUUACCUGUGUGACUGCGUACCUUUUGUAUAAUGGGUCAGCGACUUAUAUUCUGUAGCAAGGUUAACCGAAUAGGGGAGCCGGAGGGAAACCGAGUCUUAAUUGGGCGUUAAGUUGCAGGGUAUAGACCCGAAACCCGGUGAUCUAGCCAUGGGCAGGUUGAAGGUUGGGUAACACUAACUGGAGGACCGAACCGACUAAUGUUGAAAAAUUAGCGGAUGACCUGUGGCU